AUUGAACGCUGGCGGCAGGCCUAACACAUGCAAGUCGAACGCGUGGCGGACGGGUGAGUAAUGUCUGGGAAACUGCCUGAUGGAGGGGGAUAACUACUGGAACCGGUAGCUAAUACCGCAUACCAUCGGAUGUGCCCAGAUGGGAUUAGCUAGUAGGUGGGGUAACGGCUCACCUAGGCGACGCUCCCUAGCUGGUCUGAGAGGAUGACGAGCCACGCUGGAACUGAGACGCGGUCCAGACUCCGACGGGAGGCAGCAGUGGGGAAUAUUGCACAAUGGGCGCAGGCCUGAGGCAGCCAUGCCGCGUGUAUGAAGAAGGCCUUCGGGUUGUAAAGUACUUUCAUCGAGGAGGCGUUGCUCGCAGAAGAAGCCCCGGCUAACUCCGUGCCAGCCGCCGCGGUAAUAC
rnacentral:rRNA from 1 species